CGGGGGUACACGAGCGGCGAACGGGUGAGUAACGCGUGGGUAAUCUACCUAGAAGUGGGGGAUAGCUUCGGGAAACCGGAGGUAAUACCGCAUGUGCCCCGACCAACGCGAGUUGGACGGGUGAAAGAUGGGGAUCUUCGGACCUGUCGCUUCUGGAUGAGCCCGCGUCCGAUUAGCUAGUUGGUGAGGUAAUGGCUCACCAAGGCUUCGAUCGGUAGCCGGCCUGAGAGGGUGAUCGGCCACAUUGGGACUGAGACACGGCCCAGACUCCUACGGGAGGCAGCAGUGGGGAAUUUUGGGCGAUGGGGGAAACCCUGACCCAGCGACGCCGCGUGGAGGAUGAAGGUCUUCGGAUUGUAAACUCCUGUCAGGUGGGAAGAAGAUCGUCGGGUUAAUAGCCCGCGCGAUUUGACGGUACCACCAAAGGAAGCCCCGGCUAACUCCGUGCCAGCAGCCGCGGUAAUACGGAGGGGGCAAGCGUUGUUCGGAUUUACUGGGCGUAAAGCGCACGUAGGCGGCGAAGUAAGUCAAAGGUGAAAGCCCUCGGCUCAACCGAGGAACUG
rnacentral:rRNA from 1 species